CCCUUUGUUUUGUACACAUUUCCUUUUAAUAUUGCCCAUCACAGGGAAAUUACUGCUAUGCAUUAAAACAAGUAACUAAACAUCUCUUUAGAUUUGAAGCCAUCAUUGAGCCGCAUGCUCCCAAAAGAACGGCGAAAUAUGCCAAAUUACACAUCAGACCUGUUAUUAAGGGCUCUUAUGGCAAAAUGCUCUUGUUGAAAGGUAACACAAAAGGGCCUGGAAGCUGCAUUUAUGUCGAGCAAGCACCUCAACCAGGCAAAUGGAGAGCGUUUAACUCAUUAUCUCCUCUGUGUACGGGAAGCCAACUCCCACACAGUUACAUUUAUCCAACUUCAAAGGAAAUUAUUACUGAAAAGUACAAUCUCUCUCCCGUCAACUACAUGUGCCUUGUCCCUCUGAUCUUAACAAUUAAAAUUGUCUUUAAACAAUUUAGAUGUCUCAAAUGCCUCGUGUUGUUGACGAGGUGAAGCAAGCAGAUCUGACUGGUUUGUAACUACACCUGUUCCUUCCUUAUCAGAUCCUCUACAUUGUCCUCAGAUACAGACAUCUCCUGCCGUUAGAAAAAAAAAUCAUAAUUAACCGAGAAGUGCAUUUGGAAUCGAUGUCCGCAGUUAGUCAAUGCUGAAUAAACUUAAACUUAUUGGGUCUUUCCUUUCCAUGCAGCCAUCCAUUAGUAGCUUUGCGACAGAGAUUUGAUUGACACGAUUGAAUUGGAUCCUGAGAUUAACCUGAAACUGCCAAAUCAUGUCCUGAAAAUAAUCCAGGCCAGGGUGGAGAGAGCGAAAGACUGUACGGCUUCUUAAUGUUAUCAUACAGCUUUGCCGGAAAAAAAAGUGAAACGCAGAGAGCCGCAUUUUGUAAAUUUUAAAAUCACGCCAUAAUCAUCUAGUGGUGUUCACAUGAAUUACUUCGAAGCGCCGUCACUGUCGUUCGCUAGGCAAAUACACCAUUCAUCUUGUACUGAGCACAUUUUGCAGAACUAUGUUAAAGAAGCAGGCAGUUGCUUCUGAUGGUAACAAUAAGGGGUGAGAUAUUUGUCGAAAGAAUUCCCUGCUCAAAAAUAACGCAGUGGCAUCGCCCAAAGCCGGCCUGAAGGACAAAUAGGUUCCCAGUGUAACGUCUCAUCUGAAACACGAACAUUCUCUCAGCAACUCAAAACCUGAAGUACUUCAUGCAACAUUUGAUUUAUCUGGACCUAUACUAAUUCUUCAAUUUGAGUCAGAAAGAAGAGUGACUUUGUAACAUGGUGAACAGAACUGCACUUCUGGAUAAGCCACAAGAAAGGAAGACUACAGAUGAAGGCAGAACAAGUUUGAAACUAGAAUUUGGGGGAAAAAAUGCUGUUUGGAUUGUGGAAGACCAGCCAGAAAUAUCAUCUGAAAACUAAACAGCAGACUUGAACUUGCACCUCAAUUGAUGUUCAGUAGAAAGAUUGUUACAAAAAU